rnacentral:misc_RNA from 1 species
UUAAUGAUUCAAAUAUCUAAACUCAGACGACACCUUCAAUAAGAGUUUUGUUUCUGUGCUCCGGCAGGUAAACUUGACCCACCGAAGCAACAUAGAAAGACGCUUUGAUGUGGUACUCAAGGGUUUGGAGGUUGGGCCACUUUGGACCCUAACUCGGUAAUGAUCCUUCCGCAGGUUCACCUACGGAAA